rnacentral:rRNA from 1 species
UACGGAAGGCAGCAGUGGGGAAUAUUGGACAAUGGGCGAAAGCCUGAUCCAGCAAUGCCGCGUGAGUGAUGAAGGCCUUAGGGUUGUAAAGCUCUUUUACCCGGGAUGAUAAUGACAGUACCGGGAGAAUAAGCUCCGGCUAACUCCGUGCCAGCAGCCGCGGUAAUACGGAGGGAGCUAGCGUUGUUCGGAAUUACUGGGCGUAAAGCGCACGUAGGCGGCUUUGUAAGUUAGAGGUUGAAAAGCCCGGGGCUCAACCCCGGAACUGCCUUUGAUACUGCAUGGCUUGAAUCCAGGAGAGGUGAGUGGAAUUCCGAGUGUAGAGGUGAAAUUCGUAGAUAUUCGGAAGAACACCAGUGGCGAAGGCGGCUCACUGGACUGGGUAUUGACGCUGAGGUGCGAAAGCGUGGGGAGCAAACAGGGAUUAGAUACC